UUGUGCUUUAAAGAAGUUUAUGGUGGUGUGGAAGUCGAGUUUUACAUAUGGUGAUUUUUGUAAGUUGAUGAUUUGAUUGAAUUGUAACUUUUUUAUGAUUGUACUUACCAGCAGAAUUUUCGUACCAACGAAGUGGACAAAAUAGAGGAUAAAUGGAUAAUGGAUGAAGUACAACAUUUCAAAAAUGAGUGACCAUUGGGAAACAGUUUGAAAUUUCAGAAGUAAACUGUGACAUAAUGUGAGUUGGAUGAGUAACGAAAUAAUGAUUUGGCUUAGUUAUAAUUUUUUUAACGGCCAUAACUUGACAUGUCAGAUUUCAGUUAGACACAUCAGCAAAACAGUAACGAGUUUUUUAGGGUGAUGGAUGUAGCGUAAAUGAACAAAGUUCAGUGAGCACUGUGAAGCGUUUUGAAGUUUAGUGAGUAAACCAUGACCAUCGUAUUAUUUGGAAACAAUUAACUUGGGUUUUAAAGAAGCUUAUGGGGCCGUCGAAGUCACAUUUCACAUAUGCUGAUUUUGAUGAGUUGAUAGUUUUGUUGAGUUGUAACUUCUUUAACAUUUAUAACUUACCAUGUGGUAUUUCAAUGCGAACAUUAGGAAUGAAUGAAACAAAAUAUGACGGAUGAUUGAUGAAGUGCAUGCAACAUCUUAAAGAUGAAUGACUAUUAGGAAGCAUUUUGAAGUUCAAUGAGUAAACUAUGACCAAGUGUAAGUUGGAUGAGUAAUGAAACAAUAGUUUGGUUGAAUUGUAACUUUUUUUACGGUCAAAUUUCCGUCGGCCACAUCAACGAAUAAGGUAACGGAUUUUUUUAGGGUAAUGGAUGGAGUGCAAACAGAUAAAGU
rnacentral:lncRNA from 1 species